AAAAUUAUAAGGUUAUAUGUAUUUUUAAUAUAGGGUAAAGUUAAAAUGUGAUACUAAAUUCUUAUUUUUUUUUAUAUCUAUAGUCGUGAUGGUAUAUGUAUUAUACAAUUUUUAUAUGGUUAAUGAUUCCAUUUAAAACCUGUGCUCUUAUAGCCUAGAGUUGUCUCCCAAUACAGUGCAGUUACAAACUGUCAUUAUUUAUAAUAUAAUUCAGGGCUCACCACACUAGGCGAAAUGACUGACUAUAUGUCUCCUUUGAUUUACCCUUUGCUCUAGGAAAGCUCCAGGGAGAAGUUUAUGUUGCCCUUGAUUUUCAGAAAAAUUCCCCAAAGUCACCUCGUAAGUUGUAAGUUAGAUAUUACAACUAUACUUACAACAUUUAACAAUGAAUGGAUUUGUCUUAUUUAAAUGCAUUACUAUGUAAUACUAUUAACACCUUUAUGAAGAAUUUUUGGACGAUUUCCUAGUGGUUUAUCAUUAAUCUCAUAUUCAUAUCUCUUGGUUCUAAAUUAGUCAUGUUCUCCUUAAAAAGAUGAAUUAAAAGCAAGGUUGGAAUGCAUUACUUUAAAGUGCAGGUAAAGUUUAGGUUUAAGUUAGGGACUGCAAUUUAGAUACAGAAUUAUUUGACUUUUUGUUCAGAUUUUAUGACAAUUAGUUGUUGUUUUGGCAUGAAUAGGUAAGAAUAUGUCUAUCUCAUGUUUGACUAGGCUAAAAGUCAUAAGUCAAUUUUUUCUGUCAUGUAUUUGUAAAUAUAAUGUAACCAUUCUUUAUUAUUUUUAAGCAGAAUUUAAUAACUAGUUCCUCGUUGCAUAUACCUUUGUUUUUACAUUGAUUUUCAAAUUGAAUUUGCUGUUUCCAUGUUUGUGUGUAAACAUUUUGAAAAGAAGUAAAGAGGAAUUUUAAAUUACUGGUCAGCACAGAUUCAGAAUAAAAUGUCAAGGUGCAGUAACAUUGUACUCCUGUGGAUUCAGAUACCAUCAGCUGUUUAAUUACCAUGCAUGGUAAUUAACAUAUUUCAAGCUUGCUCAAUAUAUCCAGAGACAUAAGUCUCUGAUAUAUCAUAAAGAAACUAGCAGGAUAAAUAAUCAUAUGAAAUGAAUAUAUACUUCUUCCCUGAAUAUGCACUUAAUUUGCAACUGGACAUUAACCUGACAGUUAUUUAUUAGUUCAUCAAGUUUUAAUUUUUUAAAUCUGAU
rnacentral:lncRNA from 1 species